GACAUAGGUGGCGAACGUUAUCCGGAAUUAUUGGGCGUAAAGGAUGCGUAGGUGGUAGAAUAAGUUAUUGGUCGAUGCCAAACUCAAUUUGACGGAAGCUGGUAAUACUGUUCUGCUAGAGGGCAGGAGAGGUUGAUGGAAUUCUGUGUGGAGCGGUGAAAUGCGUUGAUCUACAGAGGAACACCAAAAAAGGCGAAGGCAGUCAACUAGUCUGUUCCUGACAUUGAGGCAUGAAAGCGUGGGGAGCAAACCGG
rnacentral:rRNA from 1 species